UCAAAUCAUGCUGGGAAAGGAAGCCCCUGGACUUAAGCAUAUUAAUAAGGGGACUAAAAGAAAGGAACUCCGAUCUCAUUAGUAACAGCGAGUGAAAGUGAGAAAGAGGCGAGGCUAUCAACACUAUUCCACCCAGGGACGGUGCACGGGCCCAAGUUGCAUUUUGGCUUCUGGUUUGUGUAAAGGAAAGGCUUGAAAUUGGCCGCACCAUAGCAGGUGAAAACCCUAUGCUUUAUGCUCUUAAUACCGGUAAAUCAGGUGUAAACUAAACGAGUACGUCUGCUUGAGAUUGCAGCCCGAAGAUACGGCAUACGCAAGCCGCAACCCAAAAUACCUGCCUAGGCAGAUAGCGAACAAGUACCGUGAGGGAAAGUCGAAAAGAACUCUGAGGAGAGAGUGAAAUAGUGCAUGAAACGGAAGUCGGAUAAGCACAUGCAUCCAUGUUCAAUAUAGGGGGAAAGAGCGAGCAACAAGCCUUAUGAAGGAUUUACUGUUUGAACGGAACCCUAUUGGAACCCUCUAAGUGUCAAUACGCGUAUAAUGAACGUCUCCUCUUGGGGGGAUUUUUCUUUAUACCCUUAAAAGCACAUUUAGCCUCGUUAGAGCUUUUUUCAAACAACAAGCAACUAUUACUUCUCCUCCAAUGGGGUGAUGUGGUGUUUGUUGGGAGAAAGAUGGGUUAUUAUGGGUGCAUUUGUCCCGUCUUGAAACACGGACCAAGGAGUUUGAUACUAUGCCGAGUGUGAUGGACCUAAUAGACCAGAUCGCGAAGUGAAAACAAGUUUGGGGAAAUCUUCCCCCGCCUCUUAUUCAGGGGAGCAAGGCAUAUUAUCGAGACCCGAAAGAUGGUGAACUAUGCGUGGGCAGGCCGAACCCUGGGGAAACCCAGGCGGAGGGUCGUAGGGAUUCUGGCGUGCAAACCGAUCUCUGGACCAGCGUAUAGGGGCGAAAGACUAAUCGAACCAUCUAGUAGCUGGUUCCUCUUGAAGUUUCCCUCAGGAUAGCUCGACGCGAUAAUGAUCCUUCCCUCGUGCUGGACAUUAAACAUUUGUUCCCGGUAAAGAGAAUGAUUAGUGGCAUUGGGGGAACUAGUAGCCCUCAACCAAUUAUCAAACUUACAACGGGUUCUGGCGGACCGCGAGUAAAUUAUCCGCGAAUUAUCCGUUGAAUGCCGCGUCGUAGUGGGCCAUUUUUGGUAAGCAGAACUGGCGAUUAGGGAUGAACCUGACUUUUCGCUACGGGUGGGAAAUCGAGCUCAUAAGGUACCAAAAAAGGAGUUGCUCGCUUAAGACAUCAGGACGGUGGCCAUGGAAGUUGGAACCCGCCAAGGAGUGUGUAACAACUCACCUGACGAAGCGAUCAGCCCUGAAAAUGGACCCGACUCAAGCGAGAUUCCUAGGCGAAAAUGGUCUCUAAAUGUUUGCUUUAGGCAUCCAAAAGAGCCAUGUAAAGAGGCGUACCUGUGGAGCGUGAUUCAACCUGAAAAGGUUUACUCCUCCGCGGGAAGUGCUGAUCUUGGUGACAGUAGCAACUACUCAAGUGGGAGCCUUGAGAGCCGAUGUGGAGAAGGGUUCCAUGUAAACAGCAUUUGAACAUGGGUGAGCCGGCCCUAAGACGAUUUAGCCGAAGGGCUGAAGACUGUUCCUCGCUUUAGAGAAAUCUUUAUGUUGGGAAAUGUGUCGAAAGGGAAUCCGGUUAAUAUUCCGGAGCCUCAGGCGGGAGUAAGAAUUGAUUUAUCGCAUCUUUCUGCCGGCAACGGAAUUUAGAGUAAAAACAUCACCUUGUGCUUGGGUCAGAGAUUUCUAUUCUGGGUAAGCGAGGCGGACCCUCUAAAUCCUGUAAUGGGGAGAAGGGGGCUUUGCUAGCGCAACAUCCUGUGUCACAUAGGGUCCUGAACGCAUAUUGUGAUCCUUGAAAAUUUACUCUUAUGGUGAAUUCAUCCACGCCUGAGCUCGUACCUAUUUCCGCAUCAGGUCUCCAAGGUGGACAGCCUUUGGCUAACUGAAGAAUGCGGAUAAGGGAAGUCGGCAAAGCGGCGCCGUAACUUCGGGACAAGGCGUGGCUCUGUAGGUUUGUGCGUGAGCAACAUCUGAUACACCCGCCUUGUCAAAACCAUGGGCAUUUCUGUCCGUGGGGACGGCAAGUUUGUGGGAUUUGUUCUUGGGUGCCCCACGGAUUACUUCGUGGGUGCUUGCGUCGUUCAAAAACAUUGCAGAACUGGCACGGACCAUGGGAAUCCGACUGUCUAAUUAAAACAAAGCAUUGAGAAGGGCACUGAAGCUGUUGACUCAAUGUGAUUUCUGCCCAGUGCGCUGAAUGUUACGGGCCAGAAAUGUCCUUAAGCUCGCGUAAACGGCGGGAGUAACUAUGACUCUCUUAAGGUAACCAAAUGCCUCGUCAUCUAAUUAGUGACGCGCAUGAAUGGAUUAACGAGAUUCCCGCUGUCCCUAUCCGCCAUCAGGCGAAACCACAGCCAGGGGAACGGGCCUGGAAAACACAGCGGGGAAAGAAGACCCUGUUGAGCUUGACUCUAGUUUGACCUAGGGAGGGAACAGAUGAGGUGUAGCCUAGGAGGGAGACUUGUCGCCACUGAAAAACCUCCACUCGUCUAGUUUUCUCCCUAACACGAUCGUGCGGGGGUACCAGACAAUUUGGCAUUAUAGAUACAAUCCCCCAUUCAUUCGUGGGUAAGAAACUCGCGUCGUGGACGGGGUCAAGUGGGGAGUUUGACUGGGGCGGUACAUCUGUUAAAUGGUAACGCAGGUGUCCUAAGGGCUGCUCAGGGACCGGACGGAAACCUCCCAUAGAGUAAAAGGGCAAAAGCAGCCUUGAUCUAGACUUUCAGUAAAAGUAGAGACCUGGAAACAGGGGCCUAUUGAUCCUUUCGUGUAAAAGGUUGCUGUUUACGAACACGCACCUUUAAAAACUUUGCGUGUUGCGAGAGGUGUCAGAAAAGUUACCACAGGGAUAACUGGCUUGUGGCUGCCAAGCGUUCAUAGCGACGUAGCUUUUUGAUCCUUCGAUGUCGGCUCUUCCUACCGUGGCGAAGCAGAAUUCGCCAAGCGUCGGAUUGUUCACCCGCUAACAGGGAACGUGAGCUGGGUUUAGACCGUCGUGAGACAGGUUAGUUUUACCCUACUGUGUAUUAUUAACUCGAUGCUUUCGUGUUAGUAGUCCUGCUUAGUACGAGAGGAACAGUUGGGCCAAACCGCUGGUUCGAGGGUCGCCUGACGAGGCGGUGCCCUGGUGCUACGUUUGUUCGCUGUACGCCUGAUAGCAUCUAAGGCGGAAACCAAGCUAACCACAGCGAAAGCAUGACCUAUUCUCCGCGUCUUUAAUCAGACAAACGUAUGCUAUUAAGCAUUGGAAGUUUAUUAAGAAGAGGAGGCCCUACUUCUCCAACUAUUUUAUGGGUAAAAACGCGGCUAAGCCGCCUGUAGACGACUUGAUUGACUGGACAAGUACUGUAGCAAGAUGAGGGGGGCCCUACCCCCGAGCUUUCGAGGCUCAACUUGAAACCAGUUCAGGCUAAGU
rnacentral:rRNA from 1 species